UUUAUUUUCCCCCCCCCGCGCGGUUAGAUUUAGGGGCUCAAGCCUUUAUGAGCAAAGGGGCGUAAAGGGUGUGUAGGCCGACUGCCCCACCCCCCAAGGUGGUAAAUGGAAUUUUUCUGUAGCGGUAGAAUGUGCGGAUAGAAAAUAGAACUCCAAAAGCUGAAGCAAUUUACCGCGGGGUGGGAGGGGGGCCCCCUGGGGCGCCCCCGAGCUACGGGAUGAAACACGAGGGUGUGGGGAACAAACAGGAUUAGAGACCAUGAGUAGUCCACAAUGUAAGCGAUGGAGAAAAUGCGAAUGCAGUCACGAUAAGGCAGCAAUAUUCCGCCUGAGUAGUACGAUCGCAAGAUUAAAAUUCAAAAAAUUUGGCUGUUCACCGUAUCAAUUAGAGGAGCGUGUAGUUUAAUUCGAUAAACCGCGAGAUACCUUACCCAAACUUGAAUCCUUGAGGAUUCUAAGGAAUCCUUAUGGACCGGUAUUGCAUGGCCGUCGUCAGUUUGUGUUAUGAAAACUUAAAACGGACCCAAUCCUUACUGAUGAGAAUUAACCGGAACGGAUGAAGUCAGGCUCUUAUGAUCCCAAUGUUUGGGGAUACAUAUGCGCUACAUUUUCUUAUACAAUGGGAAACCUGGGAGGUGAAACCCCAAAGAGAGUACUCCGGUAGGCUGAUAUAAGAUUGGAUUUAAUAGUAAUCUGAAAGUAUAGCGUUUCGGUGAAUACGGCUCUAGUGUUACCAC
rnacentral:rRNA from 1 species